UACAAGCAUACAUUCCAGGG
rnacentral:misc_RNA from 1 species